GCAGUCAUUUAGCCAGGUCUGGAUUUAUGAUAGUGAUCUCUAAUUAGAAGAAACUGGGCUUAGUAAGAUAGGAACUUUCUCAUUUUACCCUAUUUUGAGAGACAGGAAUCAACACAACACAGAAUCUCACUUCAAAGCGCUGACAGACAUGACCACCACAGACUUCAGUUCACAUCAACUGUAACCCCUUCCAUUUUGUAUCCCAAAUUCUGAAUAAACACUUAUUAAGCACUACUUUAAAAAAUUAGUACUGCCCCUUUAUGUGUGCCUCUCUUGCAGAGAGCGCUUGCAAGGCUGCAAAGCAGAAAAACUUAUGUGUAAGCAGCUGGGAGAAAACAUAUAGAAUUUGAAUUACUGUGGAAGCAUGCUGAAGUUGAAGAGUUGCUUUCCUUGAUUGUUUACUGAGACAUUCUGAGUCAGGUUUGUGCCUCUGGCAAAUUUUCCAGCACUUGUGGGCAAACGAUAGACCUUUCUUAACGUAGAGUAGCAACGGAGCAAUUGGAGGAGAUGGAUGAGCUCCGCAUUGGUGAAUGCAGAGAAGUGGACACUGUUAUCUCAGAGCUUGACCUUUUUUGUUAUCAUCUGCUUUACCCGAUUGUACGGGGGCUACGAUGUGUGUUUG